GCCGGGGUGGGGGACUAAGCCUAUUCUGACUUUCGACAUCAAACGAUCAACGGAACACAAGCUGGCAGAGAAGAAUUGGCGAAAAAAGUGUUUAAUAGAGAAAAUGCAACUAACAAUCCAGUCAAAUGACCGUAUGGAAAUAAGAAUUUAAAGGAUACAUCUGUCUACUGCUUUGUAGGAACUGCUUUGUUCUUACAAGCUCGGAAUAUCGGCUCGACUUCUUCACCUGGUGCGGUGGUUGAUAACUUUAUAGUUUAAGAAAAAGGCUACAAAACCAGCAGCAUUUAUCAGGAAAUUGUCGUGGCUCUGCACUACUAUUCGCAUCAUGAUGUCACAGAGCAAAAAUCAAAAAAGAAAAGCUUUUUUUAUGAGCGAAAAUACAGAAUUGUUCUCCUAAACAAGCGAACACAACAAGGCAAACAACAUGGACAGUCAAGGUGAACUGUUAAUACCCAAAAGCCAUGAUGUGCGACUGAAUGAAGACAUGGAUGAUGAGCAGCAUAUUUUAGCAAAAUAUUUAGCUUUCCUUUUUCUUCCAUUUAAAAUAUGAUGUUCCUUUUCAAUCAAUCUGCAUUCUUCCCCUGAGAAAAAAAUAUUUCUCCAGUUUGGUUGAUAUUGCCCUAAAAUUUUUAACAAUUAAAUUCACAAAAACUUUGA